AGCCGUGUGGUGAAUACAAAGCGAACUAUUCUUUCGCCUUUUACUAAAGAAUACCGUGUGUUCUCCACGUUAAACGGCAUACACCAAUUUUUGGAGGAGUAACUUCAUCUGAAGUUU